UAGUCCACGCCGUAAACGAUGGUCACUAGCUGUUUGGACUUCGGUCUGAGUGGCUAAGCGAAAGUGAUAAGUGACCCACCUGGGGAGUACGUUCGCAAGAAUGAAACUCAAAGGAAUUGACGGGGGCCCGCACAAGCGGUGGAGCAUGUGGUUUAAUUCGAUGAUACGCGAGGAACCUUACCAGGGCUUAAAUGUAAGUUGCAUUAGCUAGAGAUAGCUAUUUCUUCGGACUACUUACAAGGUGCUGCAUGGUUGUCGUCAGCUCGUGCCGUGAGGUGUCAGGUUAAGUCCUAUAACGAGCGCAACCCCUGUUGUUAGUUGCCAACGAGUAAUGUCGGGAACUCUAACAAGACUGCCGGUGCAAACCGUGAGGAAGGUGGGGAUGACGUCAAAUCAUCACGGCCCUUACGGGUAGGGCUACACACGUGCUACAAUGGUAUAGACAAUGAGCAGCCACUUCGCGAGAAGGAGCGAAUCUACAAACUAUAUCUCAGUUCGGAUCGGAGU
rnacentral:rRNA from 1 species